rnacentral:tRNA from 2 species
UUGACGGCCUGGGAGGCGUUGCCCAUGGCGAUAGGAACGCCAGCCGCCUGGAGCAUGGCCAGGUCGUUGUC